rnacentral:lncRNA from 1 species
UUUCCUCAAGCGAGGCUGUCAGCAGGAAGGGGGCAGACGAGGGUAGUUCUCCUUCCCUGGAAUCUUCCAGAAGUCUGAGGGGGUUUGAAGGAGUGAAAUGAUGUGGAUGAUGUCUUCCUUGGAAGCAUCAAUAGAGGAGCUAGUCCCCCAGACGCUUCCCAGCGGCCGAGUCCACCACCGCAGGUGAGUGUCUCCUGGCUGCAGGAACCGACCCUUCUUUCUCCCCCGCCUCAUUUAACUAACUCCAGAUGAAGAUGCUCACAGCGUUCAACCCUUCUAGAGUCUGUCUGGUUAACGAGUCUUUCUAGAAUUGACUAGAAAACCAUACAGACAGAAAUUCAGUAUGAAAAUCAGUAUGCCGUGAGCUCCAGGGAUAACAGAAGCUUUUCUGGGUGAGGGUGCAGGAGAAUGCCACCCCAGCAAGACCAACUGUGCCGAAAAGCAGCAGCUGUAAUUCAAUGGCAGUGUUCGGGGAAAACAAAAAGAAUGCAUUGAGACUCGAGGAAAAUUCCACUCGCAUGCAUCAUUCAAUGAGCGGGGGAAAAAGGGAUGACUGUAAGGUCAGUCAAGUCAAUUAGUUUUUUUCAGUUAGUCCCAAAGACUUGGGGUGGACCACCAAUCAUUUUAAUUGUGAAGUUCAAACGUAUAAAAUAUACUCAUAAAAUUUUAAAGGAAUGCCUUUCUAAGAUAUAUUUCAAGUUUAUCAGAAUUUCACAGCUUCACCAACAGAAUUUUUACUUCCUCUCUUUGUGACUGAGUUGAAGAAUUGAAUAAAAUCAUGAAAAUAAAAUGUUACAAAGGAAUACAAAGUGUUACAAAGGAAUACAAAUUGUACACCAGGAAUAAAUCUACUUUCAAAGAUCAGAUGGAUGUUUAUUUUGAUCAUUGAUUUGAAACCUCUGAGAUGAAAAUGCAUUUUUGUCCUGUGGUGUAAGAAAAGAUUUUGAAAUCGUGUUCAGUUCUCUCAUCACAGGUUGUCACAAAGUACUUCAUUAUCACCAGUGCUGACGGAUCAGACCUGGCAAGUUCACGUCACAGGAGGUUUGGAAUAGGCUGAAAGUUUGUCAGGAUUUCUCCCCCAGUUUAAGGCUGAGUCCCUGGGGAGAACCGCCUCGAAGCAAGGGAUGCCUCUGGCCCUGUGUGUUCCUGGGCCUUUCUCCAGGUUUCCAUACGGACUGUGGUGCGGUGCUUGAGGAAAUCAAGCACGUUAAACAUGCAGCAUGUUGAGCCCCAUCCUGGAAAAGCAGUGCUUCCUGGGGACCUGCUGUGAGCCACGAGACACCUUUCUCUUAUUUAAUUUCUUCAAGAUUGCAUUUAUUUUUCCAAGUGGGCAAUACGUGUCUAUCACCAUAGUUUUGUGGUGAAGAUCAUGCAUGAAAGUUUAUUUCAGGAAGCUUUGAAAGCACAAUGACUAUCCCUUAAAAAUUCUUCUUCUU